rfam:Sarcoptes scabiei Contig10757, whole genome shotgun sequence.
CUCUUUGAAGGUGACAUGGCACCUAAAACCUAUGCAGGUAUGUUUGUUGGAGCUUUAUGCGCUCUCGGUGGUGUCCUAACAAUCGCUUUGCCAGUGCCUGUGAUCGUAUCGAAU